GCGGGCGGCUGGAUAGCGUAGCGAAAGGAUCAUGAUAACCUUGCCAAGGUCGGGGUCGAGGGUUCGAAUCCCUUCGCCCGCUCCA
rnacentral:tRNA from 1 species